rnacentral:rRNA from 1 species
GNUNNGGNGUGCUAUAAUGCAGUCGAACGGAGAUUGUAGCAAUACGGUCUUAGUGGCGAACGGGUGAGUAACGCGUUGGUGAUCUGCCUCGAAGUGUGGAAUAACGAUUCGAAAGAAUCGCUAAUACCGCAUAGUCUCUCUUUUUCCAGAAAUUUGAGAGUAAAGGAUUUAUUCGCUUUGAGAGGAGCCUGCGUCCCAUCAGCUAGUUGGUAAGGUAAUGGCCUACCAAGGCGAUGACGGGUAGGGGACCUGAGAGGGUGGCCCCCCACAAUGGAACUGAAACACGGUCCAUACACCUACGGGUGGCAGCAGUAGGGAAUAUUAGAAAUGGACGAAAGUCUGAUCUAGCAACACCGCGUGUGCGAAGAAGGCCUUCGGGUUGUAAAGCACUUUUUGGAAGGAUUAGGAAGGAAUGUACUUCCAGAAUAAGUCUCGGCUAACUACGUGCCAGCAGCCGCGGUAACACGUAGGAGGCAAACGUUAUCCGGAUUUACUGGGCGUAAAGCGCGUGUAGGUGGUUCUGUAAGUAGGGCGUGAAAGCUCCUGGCUCAACUGGGAGAGGCCGUUCUAAACUGCAGAGCUAGGGGAUGGUAGAGGGAGGUGGAAUUCCGGGUGUAGCGGUGGAAUGCGCAGAUAUCCGGAGGAACACCAGUGGCGAAGGCGACCUCCUGGGCCACUCCUGACACUCAGACGCGAAAGCUAGGGUAGCAAACGGGAUUAGAGACCCCGGUAGUCCUAGCCCUAAACGAUGUUUACUUGACGUCGGCGGCUUAAUCGCCAUCGGUGUCGUAGCUAACGCGAUAAGUAAACCGCCUGGGGACUACGGCCGCAAGGUUAAAACUCAAAGGAAUUGACGGGUCCCCGCACAAGCAGCGGAGCGUGUGGGUUAAUUCGUUGCUACACGAAGAACCCUUACCUGGUUUGACAUAGCAGUGGUUAGGGAAACGAAAGUGGACCGACUCUUUCGGGGAGCUGUUACAAGGUGUUGCAUGGCUGUCGUCAGCUCGUGUCGUGAGAUGUUCGGGUUAAGUCCGCUAACGAGCGCCAACCCGCGUGAAUGNUNUUACAA